ensembl:lncRNA
UUCUGAUCCAAAUAAGACAACAAGGCAAUGCAGUGAGCAAAUCUUCCACCUUGAACAAGACCAAAGGGGACCUGCUCCUGGUUUUGUUGGUUUCCCUUAGUUUUUUUUCUUGAGCACCAUGUACUGGGGACAUUCUCAAGAUGGCACUAAUUUUCUUGAAAAGCAGAAUUUUUUCUUAGUAAAGAGAGAGAAUGGAGUUGUUCCAGAAAAAAAUUAAAGGAUACAGUGCUAUGCAAUGAAAUUGCUUCCGUAUUGAAAAGCCCCUCCGUCAGGCGUUUUUACCGUUUCACUGGCCAGGACUGAGGGCUGAUGGGCUCGGAAGGCUCAGUGAGUCAGGUGCUCUUACCGUGAGCAAGGCUAUUCAGGGAUGCGUUGAGUUACACAUCCUCCCUCCCCCCGAAGAAGCCCAAUAUGUACAGUACUGAAGAUGACUAAUAUAAUCUGACAUCCCUCUCCAUGACUCCAUAUCACUCACAAGGAUUUCCUUCUCAGGUUGACUUCUUGUCUGCCUGGAGUGAGGGCAAUGAGCAGAGGAGUGCGUGGAUACUCUUUCCUCUUUAAGUGUUUUGCUUUUGCAAAAAAAUGCAAAAUGUGGUCUUAAGAAGAUGGGUGUCGUAAGGAAAGAAUACAGGCGUUCAAGAAGACAACAUUAAUUUUACCACCAUCAGAUUACUUUUGUUGCCACCAGGAAAUGAAAUCAUUUUAGGAAUCUACAAAUCUCCAUAGAAGGAAUAGAAUAUGCUCUCCUGUCUUUCACUUGAAGAGGAUUUGAGGCAGUCAAAGGAGAUUCGACUGAACCAGAUAUAGAAGAGAGAGAGAGGGUGCGUGUGUAGGUGGACAGUGGGGAGAAGCACAGAAUGAAAACCAACAAAGAGAUACGGAUUGGAAGCCACACUCUGAGCCAAGCGCUGCCCUUGUUAAGUGGAAAUUAGGGGUCCACCUACAGCAGGAAUGUUUCAAAACUAAGAUCAGGACAGAGCCGUCAAGGUCCAAGUUCAUCCCUGGGGAUACAUGGGCUCUGAAGCAAAUUACAAUGUGCUUCACUGUGUGGGCAGACCCAGCUUUGGGAGGUGGAGGGAAGCGUUAUAAUAUCGGAAAUGCUUUUUAAGAAAAGAGUACAAUUUUAGGAUGCAAAUACUAAAGCAAGAGGAGACAAUAGUGCUUAAGAAACACGUAAAUAUAUCCACCAAACCCCACUAUGUGUAUCCCCAAGCCAGCUUUCCUUUAGCCAGAUCCCAUGAUGUCCAAGGCUUCUCCAAAACUCUCUGACACGAGUGAGAUUGUGAUGGAAGGAAAGUCAGAGAGCAAAAACAGAGGUCUUAACUGAUUGUGGUUAAAGUGUCUUAAUUUUGCAAAUUUAAGAAAAACAUGUCCACUUGUGAACAUAUUGUCAGGACUCCUAUGGCCUUUACAAGUUAGAGGCCUUGAAGCUCAAGCUUCAUUAACUUUGAGAUAAACCUCGCCCUCACCGUACCCCACCCCUAGCAUUUUUCUGCAGAUUAAAUCAGACUAAAGUUAAAAGCAGCCAAUGGGAUGAGUAGAAAGCAGAAAUUAUAGAAAGGUCACAGUGGGGCCGGCCCCGUGGCCAAGUGGUUAAGUCCGCGCGCUCCACUUUGGCGGCCCAGGGUUUCACUGAUUUGGAUCCUGGGCGCGGGCAUGGCACCACUCAUCAGGCCAUGCUGAGGCAGC